GAUUAGCAAAAGGGCAAAAAGAAUCUCAAAAAAAAUCCCAAUAAAAAAAAUAAUCAUCUAAGAGAUUAGCAAAAGGGCAAAAACAAUCCUGGACCUGCAUAUACACGAAGAGGUACCUUACUGCAUCCAUGAGGAACAUCAUUUCCACUUAUCCAGAUUAGAGAGAAAAUAAUAGUCAUCAAAGAGAUUAGCAAAAGGGCACAAACAAUCCCAAUGGACCUACUAGCAAAAGGGCAAAAACAAUCUCAAUGGACCUACAUAUACACGAAGAGGUACUCCCUACUGCAUCCAUGAGGAACAUCAUUUCCACUUAUACAGAUUCCCUACUGCAUCCAUCAGGAACAUCAUUUCCACUAAUCCAGAUUAGAGAGAGAAGAAAGGUCGGUCUUCUUAGAUGGCAUUCCAUGUGAGAGAAAGAGGAAAAGAGUCCCCCUUGCAAAUUCAGGUGAAGUGUUGUAUGUGAAGGAAGAGAAAAGGUUCCCUACAAGCUGCUGAAUGUCCACAUAGCAUGCAAGUUGAAUUUA
rnacentral:lncRNA from 1 species